rnacentral:rRNA from 1 species
UACGGGGGAGCAAGCGUUUUUCGGAUUUACUGGGCGUAAAGGGCGCGUAGGCGGCCAGCACAAGUCAGUUGUGAAAUCUCCGAGCUUAACUCGGAAAGGUCAACUGAUACUGUGCGGCUAGAGUGCGGAAGGGGCAACUGGAAUUCUUGGUGUAGCGGUGAAAUGCGUAGAUAUCAAGAGGAACACCUGCGGCGAAGGCGGGUUGCUGGGCCGACACUGACGCUGAGGCGCGAAAGCCAGGGGAGCGAACGGG